rnacentral:rRNA from 1 species
UACGAAGGGAGCUAGCGUUGUUCGGAAUAACUGGGCGUAAAGGGUGCGUAGGUGGGCGUGUGCGUUAGAUGUGAAAUCCCCGGGCUUAACCUGGGAACUGCAUUUAAUACGGCACGUCUAGAGUGCGAGAGGGGAAAGCGGAAUGGCGAGUGGAGCAGUGAAAUGCAUUGAGAUUCGCUAGAACACCAGAGGCGAAGGCGGCUUUCUGGCUCGCUACUGACACUAAGGCACGAAAGCGUGGGGAGCAAACAGGAUUAGAUACCCUGGUAGUCCACGCUGUAAACGAUGGAUGCUAGAUGUUGGUCAGAUUGCUGAUCAGUGUCGGCGCUUACGCAAUAAGCAUCCCGCCUGGGGAGUACGAUCGCAAGAUUAAA